AUUGAACGCUGGCGGCAGGCUUAACACAUGCAAGUCGAGCGAGAGGCGGACGGGUGAGUAAUGUCUGGGAAACUGCCUGAUGGAGGGGGAUCACUACUGGAAACGGUAGCUAAUACCGCAUACCAUCAGAUGUGCCCAGAUGGGAUUAGCUAGUAGGUGGGGUAAUGGCUCACCUAGGCGACGCUCCCUAGCUGGUCUGAGAGGAUGACCCGCCACACGGUAACUGAGACAGUGGCCAGACUCCUACGGGUGGCAGCAGUGGGGAAUAUUGCACAAUGGGCGCAAGCCUGAUGCAGCCAUGCGGCGUGUGUGAAUCAGGCCUUCGGGUUGUAAAGUACUUUCAGCGGGGAGGCGUUACCCGCAGAAGAAGCACCGGCUAACUCCGUGCCAGCAGCCGCGGUAAUAC
rnacentral:rRNA from 1 species